GGAGAGAUGCCGGAGUGGUCGAUCGGGGCGGUCUCGAAAACCGUUGAACGCUCUGCGUUCCAAGGGUUCGAAUCCCUUUCUCUCCG
rnacentral:tRNA from 1 species